UGAGUGCUUCCUGUGUGUUCCAUUCAGAGGUCUCUGCAGUGAAGUUAUGUUCCACCCUCAACUCAUUCUGAAAAUUUGUCACUGAGCCAACAGACCUGCAGUUUGCUCACCGACCUUGGGGAUAUAGAGCUGGUUGCCUUCUUCGGCUUUCCUUCCACCUUUCCGUCUCCAGAUCUUGCCUCCUCUGGCAAAGACCUUGGAAGAUCCUUUGUCAGACCAGGAUGCUACUCUGGCUCUUGCCCAGAGAACUGGGCGUGGAACAGAGGAAAUUGUUAUUAUAUUUCUACAGAAGCCAAAACUUGGCUAGAGAGUCAAACCGCCUGUAGAAGCAUGAAUUCCAGUCUCCUGAAGAUAGAAGACAGGGAGGAGUUACAAGACUUUCUGAAACUUUUGAAGUCUUUUUACUGGACUGGAUUGUCUCGGCGUGGCCCUGAUGAACCCUGGCUGUGGCUGGAUGGAUCUGGUCUCUCCCAUGACUUGUCUGUGCAAAAUGUUUUCCCUUGGGGAAACUGUGUGUUUUACAGAUUGGAAGGUGAAUUUACAUCUGAAAACUGUACCUACUCAACAUUAUAUAUUUGUGAGCUAAGAGCUACAUAGGCUUAAAAAUGCUCAACUAGGAAUAAUGUUAUUAUACAUUCCCAUUUAAGGCUUUCCUAUAACAACCCUGGUGUCUCUUGAAAUGUUUGUGUUGUAGAAUCAUAUGCUGGUCAGUAGUUAUUAUUUUAUAGAAAUAAGAAAAAAAGAAGUAUUUGCAUGGAACAACUGACUUGAUCUGUCAAAUUACUUACAGCUGGAGUUAUUGUCCAGCUAAUGAAAGCUCUCACCAAAUGUCUGUCAUCGGUAACUUUGUUCAUGAAAAAAUUAUGUAAACUAUUAUUAUCUCAAUUCUCUAGGCCUCAGUUACCUUGUAUGUAAAAUGGGGAUGAGAGUGCUAGCCCCAUGCGGGACAGGGACUGUGUCCCCUUCUAGACUGUGAGCCCAGAUUGGGUUGGGAGUUGUCUCUCUUUGUUGCUGAAUUGUACUUUCCAAGGGCUUAGUGCAGUAUUCUGCACAAAGUAAGCACUCGAUAUGUAUAAUUGAAUUAUUGAAUUAUAAUAAACAGUAAAAUGGAAAACUUCAUUAAAGUUCAUU